GCAAGUCGAGCGGAGAUUGAAAAUCGUGGCUUGCCACAAAUUUUAAUCUUAGCGGCGGACGGGUGAGUAACGCGUGGGCAACCUGCCUUGUACAGGGGGAUAACAUCGGGAAACUGGUGCUAAUAUCGCAUAAUAUCAUUGGAUAGCAUUUUCUAAUGAUCAAAGGAGUAAUCCGGUACAAGAUGGGCCCGCGUCCGAUUAGCUAGUUGGUAAGGUAAUGGCUUACCAAGGCGACGAUCGGUAGCCGAACUGAGAGGUUGAUC
rnacentral:rRNA from 1 species